UUCUAACUCUGAUCAGUUAUCCUGAUCGAAGACAGUGUCUGGCAGGCAGUUUGACUGGGGCGGUCGCCUCCUAAAAGAUAACGGAGGCGCUCAAAGGUUUGCUCAGAAUGGUUGGAAAUCAUUCGUAGCGUGUAAAGGCAUAAGCAAGCUUGACUGUGAGACUGACAAGUCGAGCAGGUACGAAAGUAGGACUUAGUGAUCCGGUGGUUCCGUAUGGAAGGGCCAUCGCUCAACGG
rnacentral:rRNA from 1 species